GGUUCUGUAGCUCAGUUGGUAGAGCAUGGCGCUGUUUCCGCCAGGGUAGUGGGUUCGAUUCCUACCGGGACCA